ACUAGUACAAGUUUGUUGGAGAGAAAUUCUCCGACAGUUCCCAAUUUCAUCUGUACAAAGCCUUGAUCCUUUUCACAGGAGCUGGCCCCAAGAAUUUGUUCUUCACUUUAAGCCUUCUUCUCAACUCAUCUUCCCAACUUUGAAUUGUUUCCAGAGCAAGUGCAAGUUCUUUCAGCUGAACACCAAUCCAUCUUGGCCCUGCAAAUCAAUUUUGAGUCACAACAAGCAUAAUCCUUUCAUGUCACAGCAUUCUGCUUUCAUUUCAUAAACUGUUACAAGCGCGCAUACAUCUAAGUUUACUAAUUGAUAAAAAUUGGAUCUUUAUACUUAAUUUGGAGAGAAUUGAAAUAGAAGCAAGCCUUAAGCCUGCUGAUUGUUGUCUCGGUUGAGUGAUUUGGGGCCGAGGGUGAGAAUCACGGCGGCGGCGGUGGCUGCUGUUCACCGUGAGAUAGCGAGGGAGGUGGGGCUGCUGACAGAAUCGCGGCAACGGCUUCUCUCCGUUGGCCGUCUGUAAGAGGGAACGAGGGAAUUGGAGCAGGGCAGAGGGCGGCGGCGAUAGAGCCAGGGAAUUGGUGGUUGUGGCGAGCUAUUAACGAGGGGGCCAUUGGUGGUGAGAGAGAGUCGGCGAGAGGGGGAAGUCCUGCUGGCUGCCGACUGUUCGGCGAUGGAGGUCGGCCCAGCUGUGCUUCCUGCUAUGGGGAAGAAGGCGGCGGCGAUUCUCGCCGCUCGCCGAGAGGGGUUUUCUGUAAUUGGAAGAAUUUUGGCGUUUUUGGUGUUUUGAGUCAGGGUAGGAGAAGGAGGCGACGCCGGGACUGAGAAGUGGCGUAGGCGGCGGCGAGGAGACAGAGAGGGACCGGAGAGAGGCAGUUGGCGUGAGAAAGAAGGAAAGAAAGAGAGAGAAGUAGACAGCGGCUGAGAGGCGAGGGGCGGAGGCGAGACGCAGGCUGCGAUUUUGCCGGAGAUUGGCGUGGCAGGCGGCUGAGAGAGAAGAAGG